CCUACGGGUGGCAGCAGUGAGGAAUAUUGGUCAAUGGACGAGAGUCUGAACCAGCCAAGUAGCGUGAAGGAUGACUGCCCUAUGGGUUGUAAACUUCUUUUAUAUGGGAAUAAAAUGUUCCACGUGUGCGCUUUUGUAUGUACCCUAUGAAUAAGGAUCGGCUAACUCCGUGCCAGCAGCCGCGGUAAUACGGAGGAUCCGAGCGUUAUCCGGAUUUAUUGGGUUUAAAGGGUGCGUAGGUGGGUUGUUAAGUCAGUUGUGAAAGUUUGCGGCUCAACCGUAAAAUUGCAGUUGAAACUGGCAGUCUUGAGUACAGUAGAGGUGGGCGGAAUUCGUGGUGUAGCGGUGAAAUGCUUAGAUAUCACGAAGAACUCCGAUUGCGAAGGCAGCUCACUGGACUGCAACUGACGCUGAGGCUCGAAAGUGUGGGUAUCAAACAGGAUUAGAUACCCUAGUAGUC
rnacentral:rRNA from 1 species